UGUAGCUGCCUCUUCCCUGGGGGUUGAAAAGCUACACAAGCCCAGUCACCGGAGCUGUCCAUUUUGGGCUACUCUCUUGUCUUCUGUUGCUCGAAAAGUGAGGUCUUUCGUUUAGGUUAAGUGGCUACUGCAAACAAGACUUGCUGAUAGGAAAGGUAAGUACAAAAGAACAUAGAUUCUCUGUGCAACAUUAAAAAUAUUAGAAAAAGUUUAGGAGUUCUAAAUCUGUAAAGGGAGGAAUGCUGGUGAGGUGAAAAUGUGCACAGCCACGUAGUCUCAGAUGGUUUAGGAACAGGUCUGUGAAUAAACGGUCUCGAAUCCAACUGUCAUUUUCAUCCUUCAUAUACUCCUUUUGGAGUAUUUCCAUCUUUUUUGUUUUCCCACUCUCAUUCUGUCUCUCAGUUAAGAAUACCCAGUGCGAGGGAGAUGCGGUGGGAAAUGUCAGAGAUGCUCUCUGCUUCCAGUUGGUGUUUCUUGAGUGCCCCUUUGGGACAUCUUCCCAAAUGUUUGGAGUCAGCUAUAAUGAGCACAGUGCAUUAUCAGCUGCCAUGGUGCAUAUGUGCCAUCAGUGGGUGUAAAAUUAGGAGUGAUUCCAAGAGGAAAGAUUAUGUUCACUUUGAGUUGUUGUACUUGUAUCCUGACACUGAUAACCAGAUAUUCUACUUGCUUUUCAGUUAUUCAGAACUGAUCCUAUUCGCUGUGGUGACUCCUCUUUCACCUUUCUGGUGGGCCCUCAGGAAGCAGGGAAAUGAAACCUGGUUCCUGUAUGAUUUGAGAGUUUUUGUAUGAAUCAGCCCUUUUGGCAACUCUCCUAAAUUAGAAAAUUAGUUACCUUUUAACCUUUUAAUACUCGGAGUAGACAGCUCUGGCUGGGUGAAAGUUCAGGAAAAUAUUUAAACAGGGAGGGGGCUUGCUCUGGUGGUGUGAGGUGAAAUUCAGAGUUUUGUUCCUGACUGUUGAGGCUGUUUGCUCUGUAGGUGUGAAGUCAUUUAUGAGCUUUCAGCCUCUGUGUGCUAAGAUAUAGAAAUAGCUACAUUUCAUUGAGUAAUUAAAGUGUUUACAACACUUCAGAGUUGUAACUGGAGUUCCUUAGCUGAGAUUUUCCUAUAUAUUGCCUCUAUGCUUCAUCUUGGUUCCUCUUUCACAGAUCUUCCUCUCUCAGGCAGGGAACAAGGCUGGGUGAUGGGAUGAGCAUCGAUGCAGUUGUGAGCAGUGCUCGACAUUGGAGAGAAGCCAGCAGCAGCAGGAUGUUGACAGAUAGGUAGAUUGUUGAAGUUCUUGGCAUUUUGAGCUUUUAGAGUGCAGUAUCAGCAUUGUGAUGUAUUUGAAAAUGAAGUGUGGUCUGAAAAUUGCAGCUGGAAUGUUCUGGGCAAUACUUCAGUGUUUUCACAUUGUCU